CCUACGGGAGGCAGCAGUGGGGAAUAUUGGGCAAUGGGCGCAAGCCUGACCCAGCAACGCCGCGUGAAGGAAGAAGGCUUUCGGGUUGUAAACUUCUUUUCUGAGGGACGAAUUUUGACUGUACCUAUAAAUGCAGCACCGGCUAACUCCGUGCCAGCAGCCGCGGUAAUACGGGGUGUGCAAGCGUUGUCCGGAAUCAUUGGGCGUAAAGCGUUCGUAGGCGGCAAGGUAAGUCUGAUGUUAAAGCCCGGGGCUCAACUCCGGUUCGGCAUUGGAUACUAUCUAGCUAGAAUGUGGUAGAGGUAAAGGGAAUUCCUGGUGUAGCGGUGAAAUGCGUAGAUAUCAGGAGGAACAUCGGUGGCGAAAGCGCUUUACUGGACCAUUAUUGACGCUGAGGAACGAAAGCCAGGGGAGCAAAUGGGAUUAGAUACCCUGGUAGUC
rnacentral:rRNA from 1 species